rnacentral:rRNA from 1 species
ACGUAGGGUGCAAGCGUUAAUCGGAAUUACUGGGCGUAAAGCGUGCGCAGGCGGUUAUGUAAGACAGGUGUGAAAUCCCCGGGCUUAACCUGGGAACUGCAUUUGUGACUGCAUAGCUAGAGUACGGUAGAGGGGGAUGGAAUUCCGCGUGUAGCAGUGAAAUGCGUAGAGAUGUGGAGGAACACCGAUGGCGAAGGCAGCCCCCUGGGAUAAGACUGACGCUCAUGUACGAAAGCGUGGGGAGCAAACAGGA